rnacentral:rRNA from 2 species
UGCUUUCAACGCGACCCCAGGUCAGGCGGG